rnacentral:rRNA from 1 species
AGAACAAGUGCCGUUCAAAUAGGGCGGCACCUUGACGGUACCUAACCAGAAAGCCACGGCUAACUACGUGCCAGCAGCCGCGGUAAUACGUAGGUGGCAAGCGUUGUCCGGAAUUAUUGGGCGUAAAGGGCUCGCAGGCGGUUUCUUAAGUCUGAUGUGAAAGCCCCCGGCUCAACCGGGGAGGGUCAUUGGAAACUGGGGAACUUGAGUGCAGACGAGGAGAGUGGAAUUCCACGUGUAGCGGUGAAAUGCGUAGAGAUGUGGAGGAACACCAGUGGCGAAGGCGACUCUCUGGUCUGUAACUGACGCUGAGGAGCGAAAGCGUGGGGAGCGAACAG